GACGAACGCUGGCGGCGUGCUUAACACAUGCAAGUCGAACGGAAAGGCCCUGCUUUUGUGGGGUGCUCGAGUGGCGAACGGGUGAGUAACACGUGAGUAACCUGCCCUUGACUUUGGGAUAACUUCAGGAAACUGGAGCUAAUACCGGAUAGGAGCUCCUGCUGCAUGGUGGGGGUUGGAAAGUUUCGGCGGUUGGGGAUGGACUCGCGGCUUAUCAGCUUGUUGGUGGGGUAGUGGCUUACCAAGGCUUUGACGGGUAGCCGGCCUGAGAGGGUGACCGGCCACAUUGGGACUGAGAUACGGCCCAGACUCCUACGGGAGGCAGCAGUGGGGAAUAUUGCACAAUGGGCGGAAGCCUGAUGCAGCAACGCCGCGUGCGGGAUGACGGCCUUCGGGUUGUAAACCGCUUUCGCCUGUGACGAAGCGUGAGUGACGGUAAUGGGUAAAGAAGCACCGGCUAACUACGUG
rnacentral:rRNA from 1 species